rnacentral:lncRNA from 1 species
AUUCCGAUCCGCUGCCCCUGAGAGGUGGGCCUUGGGAGAGGCAGGGCUUGGACGCCCUUCCUCGGGGCAGCGGGGUGCAGGGAGAGUUCUUCUGGCUGUGAGUCCCGGAGUCCCCGACCCUGGCACCCCUUCAGCAAGGUUCUCAGGCACAUCUGCCGGGGGCGCUGAGGGGACCUGAGAUGGACGGGCCGGGAGGGAGGCUGAGGUAAGACCUGAGGCUGAGGUAAGACCUCAGCCUGAGGUAAGACACAGUGCUGGGGCCUCCCUUGAAGCCCGUUUGAAGUGAGGUCCCCACAGCUGUCAGAGGACACGCAGGGUGGGGGCUCCUGGGUGGGAAACAGGUAAACCUCUUGGGCGCCUGGGGCUGGAGGCCUGAGUGGUCCUGAAAAGAACAUUCAGGCCAGGCGCAGUGGCUCACACCUGUAAUCCCAGCACUUUCGGGGGCUGAGGCGGGUGGAUCACAAGGUCAAGAGAUCGAGACCAUCCUGGCCAACAUGGUGAAACCCCGUCUCUACUAAAGACACAAAAGCUAGCUGCAUGUGGUGGCGCACGCCUGUAGUCCCAGCUCCUCUUAGGGAGGCUGAGGCAGGAGAAUCACUUGGACCCAGGAGGCGGAGGUUGCAGUGAGCUGAGAUUGCGCCACUGCACUCCAGCCUGGCGACACAGCGAGACUCUGUCUCAAAAAUAAAUAAAUAAAUAAAUAAAAAGAAAAGAAAAGAACAUUUAGUGAAAGGAGCAAGGAAGAGAAGGCAUUCUGGGCAGACCCCGGCCCCCAGGGCACAGGCGUGCAGUGUUUCCCUUCCAGGGUUUGGUGGACACUUGGAGGGACCAGGUCGGGGUGUGGCCUGGGAGGGGUGGCCAAGGUCCAGGGGUCAGGGUCACUUCGGGGAAGUCCAAGGGGCAGCGCGGAGCCACCGCUGUGGACAUGGGAGGAGCCUACUAGCCAGCAUGGCCCAAAGGAAGGAGGGGCUGAGGGUCAGAGGUCAUGGGAGAGAAGAGGGAGUGGGGCAGACCCUCUCCCAAGGCCAUGGGGUGGGGGAGAAACAGCGCCUUAGGGCCUGUCCUGAUCCUCCUCCAGAGCCUGCUCAGAGUGGGAGCAGCCCCUCCUCCCUUCCCCUCCACCACCCAGGCGCAGGUGCGGCCUCUCCCUGGCCCGGGGACCUGCGUGAGGUCAGCCCUCAAAGCGCUGUCCCUUCUGGCUCACCUGGGCCCAGGGUGAGGCCCGACCCCACGGUGGACCCUGAGUCACUGCAGCUUCUGUGCCCAGCUCAGGAACAGAGCAGCCUUCAAGGCCAGGACUGGGGAGGGGCUCGGCUUUUCCGGCCCUUGGACGCCACUCAACUCUUCCUGCCCGUGUGUUGGCAAAGAACUAGCACGGCCUCUGAAGCACUGAAAAGACAAGGGCUACCUCUUUUCCAGAAGGUCCCAGAGCCCACCAUGAGCAGGCAGUGUUUGGGAAAAGCCCGGGGAGGUGGCAGGGGCUCCGAGGAGCGGGGGAUUCUAAGGGGUUAUAGCUGCGCUGAGCCCCGGGCUCCUCAGAAGCCUCAGAAGGAGAAGGGGGCUCCUUUGGGGGCAUCCUCCCUGCAUCCGGGGUGUUGCAGGGUGACCUCCCGUAGUGCCAGCAGGGGCGGCCCCUCGGUCUGGCCAGAGAAGCCCAGCCACUGUCCCGUAUGGUGGAUGUCAGGCCCAGUGCCGUGUUUCCGAAGGAGGGAAGGGGUGAGAGGCAGCAGCCAGACACCCCGCUGAGCCCGCCCCGACCCUGAGCACGUGGGAGCUGGAGACGGUGUCACACACUCGGCCUGGCUUUGGGACCAUCCCUAGGGCUUCUGUGGGGAGGAGGAAGGAGGAGCAGACGUGGAAGGGCUGCCAGGGCCCCAGCAGAUGGGGUCGGGGGCGGAGGAGAGCCAGGAAAGUGUGGGCGCCUGGGGGAGUCACAGAUGGAGGUCUGGUACCUAGAGCCUGGAGAACGACGGCUCUCGGGACAGAGGGCCUCAGACUCUGGCACACCAGCCGUACCUAUGACAAGCUCCAUGGGGGAAGAACCAGGCACCUGGAUGCAUGGCUGUGAGGCCCCCACCCCACAGGGGCCUCAGAGGCACAGGCUCCAGGCUCCAGCGGGGAGGGCGCUGCAUCCCACCCUGGGAGCAUGGCUAUGAGGCCCCCACCCCACAGGGGACCCAGAGGCACAGGCUCCAGGCUCCAGCGGGAAGGGCCCUGCUCCCCACCCCCAUCCCCCGCCUCAGGCUUCACUGAGAUGGGCCCCGGGGACCCCGGGAGCUUUCUGUGACUGCUCGGCAAUGGGUUCCCCAAGGCCUGGCACAGGCUUUCCUUAGAGCCAGGCUGUGGACCCAAAGCCUUGGGCCAAGUCUCAGGACCAGAUGGGCGGCUCUGGAGAGGACCCCACAGUCCAGGGUGAGGCGCGCCCCGCUGGGGGCAGCGCUGCCUGUGGAGAGGACCCCACAGUCCAGGGUGAGGCGCGCCCCGCUGGGGGCAGCACUGCCCGUGGCCGUCUCCAUCCAUCUCACCCUGACGCAAGGCCGGCUUCCUCUGCGUCCAGUGGUCGGGGCCUUGGAGAGGCCAGCAGGGCCCGUGGGGGUCGCGUUUCUUCCCUGUGGCAUCAGCUCUUUUCCCAGCAGGCCUCUUUGCAGCUGGAUGCAGCAGCCAAGCCCUGGAGUCUUUGGAAAACUGUGGCCUGGCGGGGGCCCAGGCAAUGCCACCUUACAGGGGACACCCACACAGGCGGUCCCGAGGAGGGGUGUGCUGCCGCCCUGAGCUCAGCCAGGCAUCACCGUGGUGUCACCGUCAGCUCGGGUGGCACCUCCCGGGCUGCCCUCUCGGCUGCCACUUCUCAUGAAACUGACAGGGACUGAACACGAAUGAUGUGGCUUAUAGCUGGGUGCCCCCACCCUGACCACAGGUGCCACGCGACGGGAGCCACAUUCUCUUCCUGAUUCUAACUCCACGGGUACAGAGACAGAAGCUGCCAUCUUUAGAAAUAAAACUUUUUUCUAACUACAAAAUAAUACAGUUUAAUAUAGGAAAUGUGGAAAAUGGGGUAUUCGGGGUGGAUAUUGAGAAGAGAGAAGCAACACCAAUUCUAUGUGCGAGACGCUGGCACUUCCCAGCGUAGCCUUGUGUUCCUGACCCUGGGGUGGCCUGAGCGUGGCCUGUGGGGCCCGUGUCCAGGUGCGGAGGGGGCCCUGAGUCGUGCGGGGCAAGUGGUCAGGGCCCCAGGCCCAGGCUGCCUGGAGCGAGAUGACUGGGCCUGGCCCCUGGGGACUUGCUCUGACAAAACCCCCCGGUCCCCACUCCUGAGCCCCUGCAGGAGCAGCCCUGGGAACAUGGGGAGCAGCUCCUUCUGCCUAUGUGCUCCGGACUCAGGAACUCUGGAGAGAAGAAACACAACCCCACAGGCCCCGCCUGCCUCUCCUGCAGUCUUGAGGCCCCAGGGAAAGCCCCCACUGCAGGCAGGGGGUGGGUGCCCGAGCGAGGGUGUGGGGUGAGCAGGGUCCUGGGCAUGUCAGGGCUGCGUGGGACUCCAGCGGGCCGGGUGCCUCUCGCCCUGCAGGACGUGGCUGGCCUGGUCUGCCCCCAGCUGAGCCUCACCUGAGGGAGAGCUGGGGUGGGCCGCCUCGUUUACGACCGUGUAGUCGUCUUUUGCACACAAAGCCAUGUGAGUCCGUACGUGAGUCCUGUGGAAAGACAAGACAUGGAAUAGGAGUGACGUCCGUCCCCAGGCAUGAAGUGGAGAGCAUCACGCUGUGCCUGAGCUCCGGAUAUUUCUCCUGUUCUGGAGACAGUGAGAAGUGAAAGAGAAAUGGCUGCCCCUGCACCACUUACCGCGAAGGAGGCUCAAGGCUGGGGGGCCCCUCUGCCUUCCAGUGACCGCCCGUGUCACAUCCUGACCCGCUCAGCAGGUGAGCUGCAGGCUGCCAAUGCACUGGUGCUACUUGCCCCUCGGUGUCUGGGUGGCUUUUGUGUGGCUGCGGCAGCUUGUGGGCCCACAUCCCAGGCACGGGUGGUCCUGAAGGUGCUGGGGAAGGGACAUGCCCUGGGAGGCAGGAUGUCCACACUAAGUGAGUUGCUCGCCUCCACUGGAGGAGAGACGGCCAGAGGCAUGGAUGCACGCUGACUCGUGGACGGCCGCUGUUUGACGAGACCAUCAAGGAGGGAGGAGCACCCGUGGAAAGGCGUGGCAGGGUGGUCGGGGCAGAGGUGUACAUCAGCCUAUCCAAUGCUCACGGCUGGAGGACGCCGCGCCCUGUGAAUGCUCACUGAGGACCAUCCCGGGCACUGGGGCUCUCCAUGUGAGAAUGGACAAUAUGCUGCCUUCCCAGCUGCCCCAUCCUUCCUGCGAGAGCUUGGGGAUGGGUGGCCACAGUGGCACUGGGGAGAACACGAGGGCUCCCCAGCAAGCGUUUUCUCUCAUGGAGGUGGCUCUGGUCACAGCGUCACUGCAGGGCGCAGCCACGGUGGCGGCCAAUGGAAACUGGGCUCUUCUUUUUCUUUUUUUUUUUGAGACAGAGUCUCGCUCUGUCACCCAGGCUGGAGUACAAUGGCAGGAUCUCGGCUCACUGCAACAUCCACCUCCCGGGUUCAAGUGAUUCUCCUGCCUCAGCCUCCUGAGUAGCUGGGAUUACAGGUGCCAGCCACCACGCCCGGCUAAUUUUUGUAUUUUUAGUAGAGACAGGGUUUCACCAUGUUGGUCAGGCUGUCUCGAACUCCUGACCUCGUGAUCUGCCCGCCUUGGCCUUCUCAAAGUGCUGGGAUUACAGACAUGAGCCACCGCGCCCGGCCAAAACUGGGCUUUUCUACGGUGGGGAGAGCAGAGCUAUUCUCUCUGGGGUGGGUGCUUGUCUGGGACUUGUCACCAUCCCUUACUCCAGGGCUGUCUUCAGCACUGUCGCCCACAGUCUUUCCGAACGCCUUAUUCAGAUGUUAUAAUUUCCCACACGAUGUUCCUGACCAAGAAACGCAUUUUACAGCAAAGGGGUGAGGAACGGAUCUGUGGCCAUAGGAUCCCAGAGCCGUGUCCCCGCCACUCAGGAGCAGGCGACCUGAGCAGAAGGGCUUGGCGCUGGUGGGCAGUGGGAGCCCUGCCAUGGGCGGCCCGAGGGGUGGUGGGAUCCCCGCCGUGGGCAACCCCGGGGGCGGUGGGAGCCACGCUGUGGGUGGGCUGGAGGCCCUACUGGGUGUGCUACCGGAAGGGAGGUCCUGACUGUGAGUCCAUGUUCCUGGCAUGUUGAACAAAGAAUUGAGCAAAACUCACAAAACGACAAAUAACAGAGUAAUGAAAGCGCAGAUCCUUUGCAGUGAACAUGCACUCCACAAGGGGGGACGGGACUCCAGCAAGUGCUCCGGAGCCCCCAUUAGGGUUUGUAUUGGGCUAAAAGAAUUUGGUAACACCCCCAGGUGCCCUUUCCAGGUCUCUGAUUGGCUGCAUCCUAUGAAGACUGGCCUGCGGCCAAUCAGAGGCUGAGGUGGAGACUCCUGUCUUGUUUUCCCAGGAAGGAGGCUGCGGCCUGUGUGCCGCCCAAUCCAGCCAGGAACCGGUGGCACCUGCUGCCCUCCGGCUUCUGCCUUAGCCCUCGGUGACCCCAUUCCCUGUUCUCCUGCCUCAGGUGCAGGGCGAUGGUUCUCAGUCAACGCUGGGGCCAGAGCCGGGGCUGGGGCCGCUCGUUCUGCACAGGUCCCGGGAGUGGCGGUGAGCAAUGCUCUCGCUCUCAGCGACCCACGUGCAAAGCGCUCCCUGCGCCCCCGACCCCGCAGCUUUGGGCUCUGCUGACUUCAAGGCUUCAUUCUUCCUCCAGGAGAACACAGCAGGUCCCUCCGACCGCAGUCGGCCUCUCCAGCCUGCCAUGCCUCUGGCCAUGAGGCGACCCGCUGGAGUGAUGGAUUCCCGUCACUACCACCCACAGGGCGAGGGGGUGCAUUGGUCUGCUUGGGCCGCUGUAACAAAAUGCCACAGCCUGGAUGAGUGACUGACAUUGCUUCCCCACCGUUCUGGAGGCUGGAGGCCCGAGAUCGAGGUCCCUGACACUAUUUCAGUGAUGCCAGAGCCCAGGAGGAGUCGACCAAGCCCCAGCGUGGCCAUAAGCACCUUCGCAGGACCACGGAGUCGCUGCAGGUGUUCAGCCCUGUUGAGAGUGGGAGUCGGUGUCGAUGGUCACAGCUCAGUAACUCAUCGUCACCAGCGAGUACCACAGAGCAGACACAACUGCACUUCUCUGUAGAGCCUCCAGUCGAUACUGAGAGCCACUGGGGCGUCUGACACCCAAGGGUGCAGACAUUCACUCCAAGUCCAGAGACCGCGCCCUUUCUAAGGCCCUGUCUCACAGUCGCCCCGUGCUCAUUGUGCCGGAUGUUUCCACAGCCACAGAGACGGUGCGUGAAGGUGAGGUGCAGCCUAGUGCAUAUGACUGACAGAAACGUGAAGCCACAGUGGACGCCUGGAUGAGACACAGAUCACCUUCCAAAUCUGAGUGUGGCCUUGGGACCAACCAGGCAGCCAGGGAGAAGGCAGAGACCAGAGGGAACCCAGGUGCCCUCAAUCCCAGCCUCCUCUAUCCCAGCCUCCCAAUCCCAGCCUCCCCAAUCCCAGCCUCCUAAUCCCAGCCUCCUCCAUCCCAGGACCCCCACUCCCAGCCUCCCGAUCCCAGCUUCUCUGAUCCCAGCCUCCCCUAAAACCCAGACUCUAUGAAUCCCAGCCUCUGAGGUGGGAACUGUUAGUAACCCCACUCCAUGGACAAGAAAGCUGGGGCCUGGCGAGGCUAACAGACUAUCCUGAUGGUGUGAGGGAGGGAUCGGCCUCUGAGGGCUGCUUCCACCCAUCUCACCAGUGGCUGCAGGCUCCAGGCGCCACUUUCCUUGAGUCUAUGUUCUUUCCAAGCAUCCUGCAGCUCCAGAAGCUCUGGAGCCGCCAGCACUGAGAGAAGCGAUGGAGCUGCAUGCAGGGAAACUUUGUUGACAGCGGUGUCUGGAUGGACCAGCAGAGGGCACUCUCACCCACGGGGAAAAUCGUGCGCCCGGCCUCGUCCACCGCCAGAAGACGCCGCUACACAAUGGAGUCUCGCUCUGUCGACCAGGCUGGAGUGCAAUGGUGCGAUCUCGGCUCACUGCAAUCUCUGCCUCCCGGUGAGAGGUGAAGCCAGCUGGACUUCCUGGGUCUAGUGGGGACUUGGAGAACUUUUCUGUCUAGCUAAAGAUUUGUAAAUGCACCAAUCAGUGCUGUGUCUAGCUAAAGUUUGUAAACGUACCAAUCAGCACUCUGUAAAAAUGGGCCAAUCAGCACUCUGUAAAAUGGACCAAUCAGCACUCUGUAAAAUGGACCAGUCAGCAGGAUGUGGGCGGGGUCAAAUAAAGGAAUAAAAAGCUGGUAGCCGAGCCGGCAGUGGCAAACCGUUUGGGUCCUUCUCGGUACCCUGGUGGCUUUGUUGUUUUGCUCUUUGCAAUAGAUCUUGUUGCCGCUUGCUCUUUGGGGCCUCACUGCCUUUAUGAGCUAUAACACUCCCCGCAGAGGUCUGCAGCUUCAUUCUUGAAGCCAGCGAGACCACGAACCCACUGGGAGGAACCAACAACUCCAAACGCGCCACCUGUAAGAGCUGUAACACUCCCUGUGAAGGUCUGUGGCUUCACUCCUGAAGUCAGCGAGACCAGGAACCCACCGGAAGGAACUCCGGACACAAAGAACUGCAACACUCACCCGAGGGUCUGUGGCUUCAUUCUUGAAGUCAGUGAGAUUAAGAACCCACCGGAAGGAACCAGUUCCGGACGUGCCGAGUUCAAGCAAUUGUCCUGCCUCAGUCUCCGGAGUAACUGGGAUUACAGGUGCACGCUGCCAUGCCCAGCUAAUUUGUAUUUUAGUAGAGUCGAGGUUUCACCGCGUUGCCCAGGCUGGUCUCGAAUUCCUGAGCUUGGGCAACCCACUCACCUCGGCCUCCCAAAGUGCUAGGAUUACAGGCGUGAGCCACCAGGCCGGGCCCGUAUGGUGGUUUCUACUCCGGACUGACUCUCCCGGGUCUUGGUCACUCUGCAGAAUCCUGGACCGGAAGGGGGCCUCGGCCAGGGGAGGGCUUGCGAGGAGCCCCGGACCUACUGGCCAUUAUAGGGUGACGGGAAGUUCCUUGCAUCCCGGGAUCCCAUGGCACUUGGUCAGGGAAGCCUCCCCAGAGAGGCCCAACUCCCCAGAUCCAGGUGGGGAAUCAGGGUACCAGCCAGGCAGUGUUCCCACCCCAGCCAUGCUGCUGGCUUCCGUCCCUGUGGUGGGGUCACCCAGGUGGCUCAUGCCUCCACGCACAGCCUUGUGGACACCCCCACACCGCCCAUAGUCAAGUCAGAGCUCACGAGCCCACAGGGCAGAUACCCGCCACGAGGGGACGGUGGGCCAGGAGGGUCCUCUGUGGGCAGCGCCGUGUUCCUGAUCUCCCCAGGCUGCUGGGGGAUGGGGUGGGGCAGAGGAGGCCACCUUCCCAUUUCCCACUUUGCUGGGUCUCCCUCUUUGCUGGACAGUGCUGGGGCAGGUUACACACCCAUGACAGUGUGAGGACUGAGGGUGCGCGUCCUGGAGCCUUCAGGGCUUGGGUGGAGGGGGCAGCUUGUCCCCCUGAGGCCUGGGCCAGAGAUCCCAUUCUGAAUGCGGAGAGCCAAGAUUCUACCUGGAUCCUGGCCUUGUGGGUCACUGUGACGGCCCAGAGCUGACUUUAUGUGACAGUUUGUCCUGAGAUUUAAAACUGAAUAUUUAGACUCGUGGGAUCUGGGCAUCCACUUCAACCAAGGAUGGGGACAGGCAGCAGGGUGGAGGGUGGACGAUGCAGGAAGAUGCUGUAGGACCAAGAACAAGGGGGCUGUGAGGCAAAGGAGCAGCACGAGGAGCCGUGUGUGCCCACUGCCACUUGCAGCCUCAUUUCUCAACCCGACUGUGAUGACUGCCGCUUGCUGGAAAGAUGCUCUGAAGACACAAUGAACUGACAAUGCGUCACCCCGACUCCUGCCUGAGCCACUCCAUUCCUUAAAGACGGUACGUGACUCACGUCCUUGCUGUGUCCUGCACGAGAUAAGGUCUGGCAGGGUUGGUAAUUAUGCCUCUGGGAUCUGUAACCAGACAUUCUCUGUAACCAUUCUGUAUAAUCUGGACGUUCUCUGUAAUCCAGAUGUUCUGUGUAAACUGAAGUUCUCUGUAAUUGGACUUUCUCUAUAACCAGUUGUCCUCUGUAACCUUCUCUAUAAUCCAGAUGUUCUUUGCAACCAGAUAUUCUCUCUAACCAGACAUUCUGUAUAAUCCAGACAUUCUCUGUAACCAGAUGUUUUCUAUAAUCCAGAUUUUUUUUUUUUUUUGAGACAGUUGCACUCUUUUUGCCCAGGCUGGAGUGCAAUGGUGAGAUCUUGGCUCCCUGCAACCUCCACCUCCCAGGUUCAAGCGAUUCUCCUGCUUCAACCUCCCUAGUAGCUGAGAUUACAGGCAUGCACCACCAUGCUUAGCUAAUUUUGUAUUUUUAGUAGAGACGGGGUUUCUUCAUGUUGGUCAGACUGCUCUCAAACUCCUGACCUCAGGUGAUCCGCCCACCUCGGCCUCCCAAAGUGCUGGGAUGACAGACGUGAGCCACCGCACCCGGCCCUGGAUGUUCUUUUUAAUCCAGAUAUUCUCUGUAAUCCAGACGUUCUCUACAACCAGACAUUCUCUGUAAUCGGACAUUCAGUACAAUCCAGGCUUUCUCCGUAACCAGACGUUCUCUAUAAUCCAGACGUUCUCUGUAACCCACACGCAGCUCCGUGUGACUCUGCUCUUCCGUGACUUCUGCGUCUAUAAUCCAGACGUUCUCUGUAACCCACGUGCAGCUCCGUGUGACCCUGCUCUUCCGUGACUUCUGCGUCUAUAAUCCAGACGUUCUCUGUAACCCAC